GUGGCAGCAGUCGAGAAAACUCCGCAAUACACGAAAGUGUGACGGGGCUAUCCCGAGUGCCGUCCGCUGAGGAUGGCUUUUCUCUGCUGUAAGAAGGCAGAGGAAUAAGGGGAGGGCAAGCCUGGUGUCAGCCGCCGCGGUAAUACCAGCUCCCCGAGUGGUUGGGACGAUUAUUGGGUCUAAAGCGUCCGUAGCCGGCCGAGGAAGUUCCCCGUUAAAUCCGGCGAUUCAAUCGUCGGGCUGCGGAGAAUACUCCUCGGCUUGGGGGCGGGGGAGGCCGGCGGUAGUCCCGGGGUAGGGGCGAAAUCCUAUGAUCCCGGGAGGACCACCAGUGGCGAAGGCGGCCGGCCAAAACGCGCCCGACGGUGAGGGACGAAAGCUGGGGGAGCGAACGGGAUUAGAUACCCCCGUAGUCC
rnacentral:rRNA from 1 species